rnacentral:rRNA from 1 species
GGACCCGCACAAGCGGUGGAUGAUGUGGAUUAAUUCGAUGCAACGCGAAAACCUUACCUACCCUUGACAUGUCAGGAAUAUCGAAGAGAUUUGAUAGUGCUCGAAAGAGAACCUGAACACAGGUGCUGCAUGGCUGUCGUCAGCUCGUGUCGUGAGAUGUUGGGUUAAGUCCCGCAACGAGCGCAACCCUUGUCAUUAAUUGCCAUCAUUUAGUUGGGCACUUUAAUGAGACUGCCGGUGACAAACCGGAGGAAGGUGGGGAUGACGUCAAGUCCUCAUGGCCCUUAUGGGUAGGGCUUCACACGUCAUACAAUGGUGCAUACAGAGGGUUGCCAAGCCGCGAGGUGGAGCAAAUCCCAGAAAGUGCAUCGUAGUCCGGAUUCGGAGUCUGGCAACUCGACUCCAUGAAGUUGGAAUCGCUAGUAAUCGCGGAUCAGCAUGUCG